rnacentral:lncRNA from 1 species
UUGAUUGGAGCUCGCGUUGGAUAAUAUGAUUUUUGGAUGAUAUGCUUUAUUUUCCGGUUCUUGUGAAGAUCGUAUCAACGAGAUUCCACUUUAAAUGUCAUUCU